rnacentral:rRNA from 1 species
GAUGAACGCUGGCGGCGUGCCUAAUACAUGCAAGUCGAGCGAACAGACGAGGAGCUUGCUCCUCUGACGUUAGCGGCGGACGGGUGAGUAACACGUGGAUAACCUACCUAUAAGACUGGGAUAACUUCGGGAAACCGGAGCUAAUACCGGAUAAUAUAUUGAACCGCAUGGUUCAAUAGUGAAAGACGGUUUUGCUGUCACUUAUAGAUGGAUCCGCGCCGCAUUAGCUAGUUGGUAAGGUAACGGCUUACCAAGGCAACGAUGCGUAGCCGACCUGAGAGGGUGAUAGGCGACAAUGGAACUGAGACAAGGUCAAGACUCCUACGGGAGGCAGCAGUAGGGAAUCUGCCGCAAUGGGCGAAAGCCUGACGGAGCAACGCCGCGUGAGUGAUGAAGGUCUUCGGAUCGUAAAACUCUGUUAUGAGGGAAGAACAAAUGUGUAAGUAACUAUGCACGUCUUGACGGUACCUAAUCAGAAAGCCACGGCUAACUACGUG